ensembl:lncRNA
AGUGAGUUAAAUAAAACACGCAGUAUUACUAAAAUUGAUUUCACCUCUUUCUUUUUUCUUUCAUGUGGUUACUAGGAAAUGUAAGAUGACACAUGUGGCUCAUAUUAAAAUUCUGUUGGAUGGCCCUGGACUAGAAAGAAUCAGAUAUGCAAGAGGCCCAAAUGGACCCUUUCAGCAGAUUCAGCAAUGUUCACCAAGCAACUCUGUGUGCCUAGAGCUGGGAUAGACCCUGGCAGUGGCUCCCAGUCCCAGGACCACCUGCAGCGUCACCUGGAUGUGGGGGAAGCCACAGGCCCAGCGUGCAUACUCUGCCCUUUUGAGAGGCACACACUGGGAAUUCUCUGUGGUCCUUCUGGAGGACCGGGCUGCCUGAAUGCGAUCUCAGCAAGCCCAUGUGGCCCUGGCCGCCCACCAUUUCUCUCUGUGGCCACCUUGGCACCCCCAGGUUGUCAGCCCCCCUCCUCUGCUGAAGACCCGGGGCCGGCCCUGGCAGUCUGUCUGAGGGAAGCUGUGGCUGCUGGACAGCUGUGUUCACGGGCAUGUCCUACAGGGCACCAGGCUACUGGGAUACAGACUUAGGACAGCCUGCAAGUUUGUCAAAGGAUACAGAAGACCCUUCCCUCUGCUCUGAUGCCUACCACCGUCCUGCGAUUCUCCCCAUCUCACACAUGAGAAAACCACAGUUUCCUGAGGGUCAAGGAAUUGAUGGAGUUCCAAUAGUUUCGAAGUGGCCAAUUCCAAACUAAAAGUGAAGCUUCGUAAUUCUAAAAUUGAUGCUGUGCUACUGUAUCAGGCUCCUCUUGUAACUCAUGGAUAAUUUCAUGUUGGUGGAACAGACCAGCAAUGUAUAAAUCCUGCCUCAGUGAUACUGAAGUGCAAGAUGAUGUGGCCCUUCUUUCGUGAUCAGGGUUUCCUCUCCAGGGAACCCUGGCCUUCCCUGGACUAACCCACCAUAUUUGCAAUGAAUUCUCCUACCCCAGUAUUUCCUUCUCCCAAAAAAGGGGCUUUGUAGAGGAGUCAGGAUAUGUCUGAGUCAGGGUGAGAUUAGACACCUCUCUGGAUUUAUGGAGAAUAGCAUAUUGUAGGCUCUGGCUGCACCCCGGCACUUCCGCACAGCCAGACAGAGUUUCUGUGUUGCUUGUUUGCAAGAAAAGGGCUCCUAUCUCUGUGUAGACUGAGCGGGCGAUGGCAAGUGUUCUUGUUCCCAUCAUUGGUAUCUCUGGCCCAGAGAGCCAGGGAGAAAAUAAUGAUUAACUUUGCUCCAGCUUUCCUUUCUCUGGACGCUCUGGCAAAGAUGUUCUAAUUUUUCCUUUUGUUCUACUUGAGGAAAUCAUAUCAGGAGGGAAGAUUUCAUUAGGACGAAUGGAUUAAGUCCUGGUUCCUGGCCAUCUAAGCCUCCCCGGGGUCCCUCCUGCCUCCUCCCAGCACACCAGUUGGCCAGUCUGGGCACUCCUCCCAGCAUGGGGUCCCAGGCAGCAGCUACAAUGCACGCUUUGUUCUGGAGCCUUAGUAAGGCAAUUGACUACUCAAAAGUUCCUCCACUGACCAGGCCUGUCCUUGACAUCUGGCAUCUCUCCCAGGAUCCAACUCCAGCAGGAUUUUGAAGUAACAAAAUUAGAGUCUUUUGAAGUGAUUUGACAAUUCUCCUUUUUCAAGUUUAAAUUACAUUUACCACUUAGUGUGUCUAGAUGGUUCUAACACUUUUAGAAAUUACCGCCUCCCAAAUCCCUGGUAGAUAUUCCACAGAGUUGUCUUUCUAGAAGAAUGUGACUCCAGUAGGACCUCCUGCCCCAGCAGAUGGUGGUAACACAUCUUUGUUUACUGAGAGUCUUUGCCAUGCACGGAGCAUUUUAUAUUCAUUGUCUCUGAUAUUCACAACAACACAAAAGGUAAAUAAUAAGAUCUCUACUUUUUUUAAGAGAUCAAGAUUUUAUGCGAUUACUCAACUAGAAUGUGGCAGAAGGCAGAUUUGAACCCAUAUCCUUCUGAUGCUAAAUAAAACCUGUGAGGCUCCAUGGUGUCCCUCUAAG